GGUAAUCCAUAUCAAAAACGUCUGCUAUACCAAGAAGCGGAUAAUACUUGUGGCGUUACGGAGUACUAUUACUACUGGACUACCAACAAUGCUACCGACUGCGCAGGCACCCGCUUUAUAUAACGCAAGAAGGCAGCUGCAAGGACACAAGGAUGCCAAAGAGCCAGCCCAGUGCGACUUCACGUAGUGCAAAGGAGCGCACGCCAAAGAAUCAAAAUACAUUGCCAUGCAAUUUGCACAAGAAAACUAUAAUGUGGGUAUAUUGGGUGUACCAUAUCACUAAAUGUCAACAAAAUCAAAAUACAGUAUUUGACACCAAGAUGAAAAUUCUCGUGUGCUCCAGGCAGUCAUCUUAACAUGGUAUACUUAUGUAAUGUCUCAGAUGGAAAAGUCAAAACCAAGCAUGCUCUCUGGAGACAAACACAUAGGAGCAAGUGACAUUGAAAAGUUAGAAGUUUGUUUAAAAAAAGGCGGUUAGUUGUGAGAAGUAACUGCUUUUUGUCUUUCCACUCACCAGAUAUAUCCAUGUGAUAAAGAAUAGUGGUACAAUAAAAUUGCAUAUUUGUUUAGUGACAUGAUACAUACUUGCAAUGAGUACGGUGCCUGUGUUCACUAUAAAAAGCAACAACUCAUGCUUGGUUAGGUGCUUACAUGCAUUUAGCAGCUUUACUUGCUUACA